GGGGCUGAUUCUGGAUUCGACGGGAUUUGCGAAACCCAAGGUGCAUGCCGAGGGGCGGUUGGCCUCGUAAAAAGCCGCAAAAAAAUAGUCGCAAACGACGAGACCUACGCUUUAGCAGCUUAAUAACCUGCUUAGAGCCCUCUCUCCCUAGCCUCCGCUCUUAGGACGGGGAUCAAGAGAGGUCAAACCCAAAAGAGAUCGCGCGGAUGCCCUGCCUGGGGUUGAAGCGUUAAAACGAAUCAGGCUAGUCUGGUAGUGGCGUGUCCGUCCGCAGGUGCCAGGCGAAUGUAAAGACUGACUAAGCAUGUAGUACCGAGGAUGUAGGAAUUUCGGACGCGGGUUCAACUCCCGCCAGCUCCACCA
rnacentral:tmRNA from 1 species